rnacentral:rRNA from 1 species
CGCGCGAUUGGAGCGGCCGAUAUCAGAUUAGGUAGUUGGUGAGGUAAAGGCUCACCAAGCCGACGAGUCUGUAGCUGGUCUGAGAGGACGACCAGCCACACUGGGACUGAGACAGGCCCCAGACUCCUACGGGAGGCAGCAGUGGGAAUUUUUGGACAAUGGGCGCAAGCCUGAUCCAGCAAUGCCGCGUGCAGGAUGAAGGCCUCGGGUUGUAAACUGCUUUGUACGGAACGAAACGGUGAGCUCUAAUACAGUUUGCUAAUGACGGUACCGUAAGAAUAAGCACCGGCUAACUACGUG